CCGCCUCGGCUCCGGCGGAGUCCGCCCUCCUCGGCUGCCCGCGCGGCUCCCUGAGACACACGGCGCCCCCUGCAGAAGCCAGGACAGGGUCCCUGCUUGAGGGUCAGCGGGCCGGCGACCCUGGUUCCAUCGGCAAAGCCCCUUCACAGCAGGACCUCGAUUAGCGUUUGAACGACAGGGAACGGGGAUCCUGGGGGCAGCGACACUUCCGCCUGCACCCUCUCCUCCCGCUGCCCUCUACGAACUCGAACUCGCUUUCAGCUUAGUUUUCUUCUUUGCAUGAUGGAGAUCCGAACAUUGUAACACAAACCUCCCCUCCCUCCCCCUCCCGCUUUGAGGGGCGGCGGGAGGAGCGCGGGCGCGGCGGGAGGGAGGCCGGGGCCGGGCGAGGCGGCCGCUCCCGGAGCCGCGGCCACAGCUCAGCGACGGGAGAGCCCGGAGAGGCUCUAACUCGGGACAGGUGGCUUCUGGGGGACGCACGAACUCGCCGUCAGCUCGGACGACGCCCGUCCUGAAGUCCCACCCCCCCCGGCUCCGCGCGCAGAGCCCCAGGCAGGAGCACGCUGCGUCUCCGUCUGAUGGGACCGGAUGCGCGCGGGGACAGCUCCCGGCACCCGCUCCGUCCUCGUCUAACCGGCCGGGGUGUGCGCAGGGCUGGGCCCGCAGGGCGGCCAGGGGACGAGGACCGUCCUGAAAACAGGCGCAGUCUCCCAGACUCCCCACGCCGAAGACGCUCGGCCACACGCGCAUGCACACACACCGCACACACAACAUACGCACAUAGACACUGCGAACACUCAACAUACCCCCCAUACGGACACACCACACACCACAUACACACAUACCACGUACACACCCCUCACACACACACACACACACACACCACACACCACAUACACACGCAUAUCACAUGCACACACGCAUACCACGCCACUCACUCACACACACCUCUUAACAGAAGAUCAGCUAGAAACUUUCAGAUCAGGAAAACAACGUGCAAAAAUGGUACCAUUUUCUCACAGGACUGGGUUCAUAAGGAAUUCCUUCUAAAGACAGGCGCUUCUCUCCCAGGAAGCGCCCGUGCCCUGAGAGGAGGACCCCGCAGCCCCGCACGCCCCGCGGCCUGUCCAGUGAGAAGCAGCUGGUCCUCGUGGGCCCGCCGUGUUUGUCGUCAGCUCUUCAGACUCGGGUGUAGACAGCCCCGCCCGGAGCUGAGGGCCCUGCCUGCUCCCCAGCCCAGCCCCUGGUCACAGAGCCAGAACUUUCUGCUGCUCAAGUCUGGAUUCGGCCGACAUCCACGAAGGAAGCAGAGGAUGCUGCGGAUCCUAGAGAAGCUGGGGAGCGCACCCCCGCCCUGGGCGAGGGCCGGCGCGGCUCCAGGACCGGCUUCCAGACGGAAGGGGUGCGGCGCGGUCGGCCUACUACGCGGUCGGGCUUCCGGAGGGCACAGGCAGCCGCGCCGGUGUAGCCCUGCGAGGACGGGGAGACUCCCCAGGGCUCCCCUCCGAUGCUCUCACCGUCUUUCUCAUCUGCAUCCACGGGGCCUUGACAACCUUGCUGAGCGUUCGUCUCAGAAAAGCAACUGUGAGCCCUCAGCCAAAUCCAGGGUGUGCUCCCCUUGGGACUCAGAGAGCCAGCAGUGGCGCAGCAGGUGCUGACCCAACUGGAGGGGACGGGGGUCAAGGCCCCCACUGUCCUUCUGGGGGACAGAAAGGAGGCCGCCUGCCUCGCAGAUUCCCCAAAGGUGAGCGGGACGCGGACUCUGGCCUGGAAAAGAAGGCAAGGGGAGGCGUGUGAUGGGGGAUAACACUGUAAACGGAGCUAUGCCUGAGAAGCUACACGUGAUGGAGCAGAAGGCCAUCCUGCUACAGUUUCUGAGUUAGUGAGGGUCCUGAGCUUAGACUUAAGUGUUCACUGUAUUUGUUCCUUGAGGAUAAUAAGCAAAAUGGCAGGCCCAUGUCUGUAAGCCAUUCUUGAACCAUAUUGGCCAUGAAAUGUACUCCUUGGUGAGAUACCGUGGAAUCUGGGGUGAUAACUUUGUAAAACCCCCAAUGGCAGUUCUCAAUAGCCACUUUCCUGCUUCACUUGAAUAAGAAUCAACUGAUUUUCCAACAAUUUAUUAGCUGUGUGAUCUUUAGCAAGUUAGUUUCCACAUCUAUAAAAUGGGGGUAAUAUAUAUAUCACAGGGUUGUUGUGAGGAUUAAACAGGCAUAUAUACAAAGCACACAAAUCAGUGCCUGUGGUCUGGUAGGCACUCUGUCAAUGCUAGCCUCAUCAUCAAAGCAAGAAGUCUAUUCACUCUAAGUAUCACACUGGCGUGCUUUGGAGUGGGCUCACUAAAAGCCUUUGUAAGUUUGAUGGGCUUAUCCCAAAGAGACAGUGAAACUUCCCAUAUCACUUUAACCAGCAGUAAAGCCAUGUAGGAUCCUAGAGCUGUCUUCCCUGUUUAGGAUGCUUUAUGCUUUUGAGUUUGGUAUACAAACUCUAAGAAUUAUCCAUAACGGAUGUGUUCGACAAGGCAGGCAAGAGUGCACCUUGUUCACAUGGCUACAGAGGCAGCUCCCCAGCUUUCCAGUUCACAACUACUGCACUCACCCCCAGAAUUACACACCUCUGGGGAUGACAUGAGCUACGCUUAAUCAACCAACGAAUAAAAACGUCUCUAUAAAAAUUUAGCCAACCACUCAAUUAUAAACUAAUACAAAUACAAAGUUGAAGUGUUUAGGCCAUCUUAUUUUUGUUUUGUAUUUUAAAAUAUUAUAUUCCUCUAAUAAAAUUGAAUCCAGAGAAACAGAUAAUUGUGGGCUUAUUUCUAAAAUGUAUUUCUUGGUCCUUCGGGUUAAAGUGAUAAUGAAGCUACAGAAUAAACUAUCUUCCCA
ensembl:lncRNA